ACAGAGGGCCUAUUCUCCCCAGCACACACAUUUGCACAGGGCAGGAUCCCCAGACCUCCACAAUGUCAGCCCCUGCCUCCAGGCCCCAUCCUCCUUCUUACCUGCUGCUGCCUCUGCUGUUGGGACUCACAGGUGUGUCAGAUGAGACGGAACUGCAGGUGAUCCAGCCCGAGAAGUCGGUGUCUGUGGCAGCCGGACAGACGGCCACUCUUCACUGCACCCUGACCUCCCUGCUCCCCGUUGGGAAGGUCGAGUGGUUCAGGGGCACAGGGCCAGGCCGGGAGUUAAUCUUCAGUUCCAGAGGAGGAGACCCCCACUCCUCUCGAGUAACAACUGUUACAGACAUCACAAAGAGAAACAACAUGGACUUUUCCAUCCGCAUCAGUCACAUCACCCCAGAAGACACGGGAACCUACUACUGUGUGAAGUUCCAGAAAGGGAACCCCGAUGUGGAGUUUAAGUCUGGACCAGGCACCCGGGUCACCGUGAGCGCCAAACCCUCUCCCCCCAUGGUGUUGGGCCCCACGGCCAGGGCCACACCUGAGCAGACUGUGAGCUUCACCUGCGAGUCCCACGGCUUCUCCCCCAGAAACGUCACCCUGAAAUGGUUCAAAAACGGGAAUGAGCUGGCAGCCUCCCAGACCACCGUGGACCCAGAGGGAGACAGCGCUUCCUACAGCAUCUCCAGCACAACCACGCUGCCGCUGACCCCGGGGGACGUUCGCUCCCAGGUCACCUGCGAGGUGGCCCACGUGACCCUGCAGGGGGGCCCUCCUCUUCGUGGGACUGCCAACUUGUCCGAGACCCUCCGAGUUCCACCCACCUUGGAGGUUGCCCAGCAACCCGUGACAGGGGACCAGGUGAAGGUCAUUUGCCAAGUGAAGAAGUUCUACCCCCAGCGCCUCCAGCUGACCUGGUUGGAGAACGGAAACGUGUCCCGAACAGAAACGGCCUCGACGGCCUCGAACCUCAUAGAGAACAAGGAUGGGACCUUUAACUGGACGAGCUUGUUCCUGGUGAAUUUAUCUACCCACACAGAGGAUGUGGUGGUCACCUGCCAGGUGCAGCAUGAUGGGCAGCAGGCAGUCACCAAAAGGCAUAUACUCAAGACCUCUGGCUACACCAAGGACCAGUGCACAGAUGGAAACUCGGAUCGAGAACUUUCCACUCCACUCCUGGUGGCUCUCUCCUUGGGCCCCAAGCUGCUGCUGCUCGUCUCUGUCUCUGCCAUCUAUGUCCACAGGAAGCAACGGAUUGACUAGUGACCCAGGAGGAAAAUAGCACCGAGGACAUAGGAGACACGGGGAGAACAUUUCUGGAAUGAUGCGCAGAUAAUGAAAUGUGAACAUGGGUCCACGGCUCCUUCCUUCCUCCCCUGCUACAUGCCAUCCUCGGUCUCUGCUGCCUCCUUCCUUCCCUGAGGGCCCCAGCCUAAGACAAGGAACAACUAGAAGCUUCCACAACCCUGCCCCAGAUGCCUGCUUCCCCAGAGACCCACCUGCCCACAGUUCCUGCUGCUCCUCUCCCAGUCCUUGAUGCCCCCAGAGCUGGUCUUCAUACCUGGUCCUGAGCAGGGGCCAUGGGAACAUGCUCUGGAAACUGACACACGGGUAUCUUCCUAGAAUGUGAGAAACAAGUCACGUGUACGUGUACCAGGCUAUCUCUCAUCCAUUUCCUGAGGACCGUGGCCCCCAUUAAGUACACACUCAAGGCCGUGCUCUCAUGGGCAAUUCCUGCCAAUCCCCAGACUCGCCAGCCUCAGUGAGGUUCUCCAAUGCCUCCUGAAUGCAAAUGAAUCCCAUCCUGGGUGGAAGAAGAGAAAUGAUUCUCCUUCCCCUUUGCCUACAUGUCCUUCUACUCAAAGUAGAGAGAAGUUUCCUUCCUCUCCCUGUGACGGGGACACCAGCUCCCCAUUCAGCUUCAUCUUUCCUGAUCCCCCCACUCGUGUAUAGGUGCUGGCAGUCCAGAAACCUGGACCCUUUCCUGGUUUCCUUCUUUAUACCCCGUGUUCAAUUCUGCCUUCAUAAUGCUAUGUCCAGUGGUGACAUGGUAAAUGUUCAACAAUCCAUGCUCAGAAAGAAAAAGAAGCCUGAUUUGUAGUGCUUGUCCACUUCUGUGGUGUCUACACUCCCAAUGCGGCCAAUUUCAAGCUGCCAACAGUGGAACAACUAGCUUGCAAAAUUCCUGGAAAGCUCUCAGGAGCGAGGGCAAGCCUCCUCCCGCCCACCAGGGAGCUCCACCCAGCACCUGCACACUGCUCGCUCCCGGGCUGCCCCCUGGUCCCGGCCACCAGCAUCCCUUCCUGGACCAUUGCCACGUGCCUAACAGACUCUCCGGGUUCCGCCACAGUGAUCCUAUGGAAAUGGAGGUCAAAUUGUCUCCCUUCCGUGCACGGCUCAGUCUCCCCCCCUUUCAAGCUCUGCUGAUAUGUCCCUUUACGAGAAGCACCUUCCAAAAGCCACCCCAUGCAAAAUAUCAAUUCCACUCUCACUCUGUGUUUUCACAGCUCAUACCCAAACUGAGCUGUUUCCCUAGAACUUACGAUCAGCUGACACGAUAAACAAGGCAGUGCUCGCUCUGCACGGUGAUGCAGGACCCAAGCAAUGACGGCGCAGCUGAAACCACGCAAAGGGAUCUCAAUAAUCACUGGGAAGCAAAACAAUUUUCUGUGUCCUUGAAAAACUUUUUUCAACACAUCGGAAGCCCACCAACUGUCAGUUAGGAAUGUAUCGGGACAUAAAAAAAACAGUGAAACUAUUAUUCACCUUUUGAAAUAUUAGAAACGUUGAAAAGGGAAGAGUUUUAUUUGUUUGCAAAGACUUAUCAAGAGUAGUUUGCAGAGGGCUUGCCUUCCUCUGACGGCACAGUUUCCCAUAUAGAGCAGGCGUCUGGAUUAUCUCCCUCCUUUCUCACUUGGGAUCAGCUUCCAACACUCCACCCUUAGCACUUCCGAUGCUGUGAAAUCUUUACAACAUUAAUGUGAAUGUUUGCUGGCAUCACUUCGUCCGGGACAUUGUCACCCUACCUUCCUCCCCCACUUUCCUCAGCAACGUGGUUCAUCGCAGGGAGACCAGGAGACAACACGACCACCUGCUCUGCUGCUGCGGUAAACUGAGUGACAGAGUCACAGUGAUCAGCCCCUGUGGGCUUUGAAAGACGUGAUGCUGACUUACCGUAAUGUGCAUCUGUUAGUUACGUAGGGACCUGUGGCUAAAGAAGACCCGGCGGGAACGUUUAUACUCCAUGCAAUUGUUCGUGGUAAAUUCCUUGGGGUAAAUAAAACUGGAAGCGUGUGUCGAAGGACUGGCUGACAUUUGUGCACAUCGACACCAUACGAAGCGAGAACUGCCUCCGUGUGUUCGUCUCUUCCGCAAGGAGGACGUCGACUCUGACAGAGAAGGACCUCUGUGUCCUCAGUUCCCAGAACAACGACCGCCACGUCUUAAGCCAUCACAUUACAAAAUGAAUAAACCAGUGACUACUUCACGGAGGACCUCACUUUCUACUAGAUGUCAGACUUUAAAAUGAAAUUGUGCUUUAUUGAAUCAGCUGGUGCACGUAUCCAAAACCAUUCUGUCAAACGCUGCUCUGUCUUCGUUGUGUUUUAAUAUUAUAUCAUAACAUCCUACAGGAGGCAAGCGAGGGGAUUUUCAGGAAACAAAACAGUAAAGCACAGGAACCACCCGGAAGAGCCCCCAGGGGCCAAAGCUGCAAGAGUCUGAGCGAAAAAUAAGUAGAGUGGUACCUGGUUCCGGUGUGGCCCGAAUGUUGGUGUCCCCACAAAAUUCGCGUGUUAGAAUCCCUCUGGCCCACGUGAUGGUGUUAGAAGGGGGGGGGGGGCUCUUGAAAGUGAGUAGGUCAUGAGUGUUCCACCCUCAUGAAUGGGAUCAGCCUUAUAAAAGAGACACGCCCCCCCGCCCCGCCCCAGAGCU